rnacentral:lncRNA from 1 species
AUAUACUUAUUUAUCAGUUGUUUGUCUUUAUCGAUAUGGGGACAUACGGUAAUGUCAUGAACUGGUGAGAAAUUCCUUGAUUAUGCUAAUACUGCCUAGGGAUAGGGGUAGGACGAUCAAUUGUAUUUGCUUCCGUUCACAUUGCAUUAUUGGUUACUAGGGGAGGCUAGGGAUAGCAAGCCGAUAAUUAAUAAUAGGCUCUUUUCACCAAGGGAUUGGGUUAAGGGUAGGCUAGAAAGUUUGCAUGGCAAUUGGAUAAAUAAGUGAAGUAAAUAAGAAGAGUAGAUAUAUUAGAGUGGAUAANNN